CUAGCUAGAGUUCCCAAAUGAAACUAAUCAUAUAUACAUAUACAUAUAUACAUGGAGAUUAAGGUUUAAGUAAAGGCAUAUUAUAUAUAGGGUCUUGAGGAAAAGGCGAAUUAUAGAUGAAGAUUAAGGUAGGUUGGUUGCUGGUGAUUGCCCUGCUGGUGUCCACCUUCUUUGCUCCAACUGCAUUUGCCGUGCGGCGCAAGAAUAAUGAAGUAACUAACUCUGCCUCUGUUGCGGAUGAUGAUGAUGAUGAUGAUAAGGAAGAUGGAUGCAGAGGUUCGACAUGCAAUAUGGUCUUAUUCCCUUGUCAGGAAGGCUGUACUUGCAUCCCCAUUGGAAUAGUGUUACCCGUAGGGAUAUGCACCGGUGUCUGUUGCGGUAGUCCAUCGCCACCCGUGCCUCCCAAACCACCAUCACCUCCUCCAACGCCACCAGCACCUCCUCCGAUGCCUCCGACACCACCACCGACACCUCCUCCGACACCAGAGCCUCCCAUACCACCUUCACCUCCACAGUCACCAGCACCUCCUCCGAUGCCACCGUCUCCUCCCACACCACCGUCACCUCCUCCAACGCCACCAACACCUCCUCCAAUGCCACCAUCACCGCCUCCGACCCCGGGGCCACCCAAACCACUGUCGACACUUCCUCCCCCGUUCGGUCAUCCUCCGAAUCCGCCACCUCGUCCUCAAACUCCACCACUUCAUCGCACCAUAACAUGAUGUUUGUCCAUGGACCGAACCUUCAAACCUUAGCACGAUAUAAUGUCUAUAUAUCCAUCCAUUAAUCGACAAUAUUAAUCGAAAUAACCAUCAAACCCCAACUUGAUCGACUUCAUGUUUUUAUGGUCCAAAUGCAAUUUCUUCAUGUUUUUUUAAUGUUCUGCGCGCCAAGUGUAGAUCGAGUUCAUUGAAAACUAUGCUAUAAUUGUGCUCAUUGCUGUCUAUUUUGGUAAAAGUUGAACGAAAAUGAUCACAUAUCAAAGUUUACAAUUUAUCCUUUCAAGAGACACAUGAGACAUGCCGAUUUACCAAAUUUGAACAAAAAAAUAAAACAGACAAAAAUAAUCGAUCCAAUUUGGCCCGAAAAUGUCAGUUCUCUCCUUGUAUAAAAUCAAACCAUGAUCGAGAUAGCUAGGGUUUAGGGAUCUCGAAAUCUCCCGUACGUUUCAACCAUGAGCGUUUAUUGGAUUUAAACCUGGAGGAUCGCCGACGGUGGAAGAGGCCAAAACACAGAGAUGAGCAGCGUUUCUGGGACAGGGGUCUUGUCCUUGUUGAGCGUAUGUUUCUUUUGUUUGGUUUUAUUUUAUUUUAUGGGAAUUAUGAGAUUUUGGUUUAGGGUUGAGAAAGCCAGAAAGGACGAUCGCUUCUACUUGAUAAUCCUAUCAAAUAUGCGAUGCAUGAUUCUAUACCUGAAUUUAUAUAUAUUUCUUUGAUUUUUAUUUGGAAACGUAUAUUAACAGACAGUAAGUUGCAAGGCAAAAUUUUUUGUGGAAUUGCUUAAUCUUAGAGUUGUGUAUCGAUCUGUUUGUUGAUGGGAUCAUAGCUUCACCUGAUAAUCAUAUUUCAUCCAAGAUUUUAGAGAUAUUCCUUUCUUAGUAUCUUUUUUGUCUUUUGUCGACAGAUUUAGAAUGGCGUAAAGCCUAUGGGCAUAAAUUUGGACUCACGACGGAAGGACCACCAACGUCUACGGUGGAAGAACAAAACCGAAACUACGGGCGCUGGCUCCCUCGACAAAUUCGUCUAUGUUCUAAUCAGGACCUUGCUCCUGCUGCAUGAUACUAAUGACUCUCGUGCACAACCUACUGCUUCUGCUUCCACGCCUUGCAACUGUUGUGGUAUCACCCACUGGGGUCGACAUUGUCCAAACCGUAUGCAACGUGCUCCCUGAGACUGAACCAAAAUCUGCUCUCAGUUCAUGCCAGACCUAAGAGGCUAAGAUUAUUCCCAAGUCUCACACUACGUAAGCUGUGUUUACUGUAUAUGUUAUAUAUGUACGUAGGAUAGCCUGAACUUUUGCUGUCUCCCUAAAAUGAACUUUGCAGAAGUACGUUGCUGAUGCAUUGCAUUGCCCUUUGGCCUCAAAGGAUAUAAGUGGUUCCAAUUUUAUUUGUAUAGCUCAGGCAGAUCAUCUAUGUCAUUUCGUAAUAUUUUCUUCCAGGACUCUCUACAGCCAAUUGAUAUGGACUAGACUAGCUAGAUCUUCCCAUGAAUCGAGAUCCUUUACUUUUCCGCCUAAAUUGCUUGGUGAAAUUACUGAAACUUGAAUAUGUUUAAGCUUGAAAGUUUAUAUAUGUAAAGAGGUACAAAUCUUUUGGUAUGAUGUUAGAUGAUUAUUGGAAAUUCUAUCAACUUUGUAUGACUAAUGUGCCAUUGAUGGGAA
rnacentral:lncRNA from 1 species